UUAAGCGACUAAGCGUACACGGUGGAUGCCCUGGCAGUCAGAGGCGAUGAAGGACGUGCUAAUCUGCGAAAAGCGCCGGCGAGGUGAUAUGAACCCUUGACCCGGCGAUGUCCGAAUGGGGAAACCCAGUGCAAUCCGUUGCACUAUCGUUAACUGAAUACAUAGGUUAACGAGGCGAACCGGGGGAACUGAAACAUCUAAGUACCCCGAGGAAAAGAAAUCAACCGAGAUUCCCCCAGUAGCGGCGAGCGAACGGGGAGCAGCCCGGAGUCUGAAUCAGCUUGUGUGUUAGUGGAACGGUCUGGAAAGUCCGACGGUACAGGGUGAUAGUCCCGUACACGAAAGCACACAUGCUGUGAACUCGAAGAGUAGGGCGGGACACGUGGUAUCCUGUCUGAAUAUGGGGGGACCAUCCUCCAAGGCUAAAUACUCCUGACUGACCGAUAGUGAACCAGUACCGUGAGGGAAAGGCGAAAAGAACCCCGGCGAGGGGAGUGAAAAAGAACCUGAAACCGUGUACGUACAAGCAGUGGGAGCCUCUUUAUGGGGUGACUGCGUACCUUUUGUAUAAUGGGUCAGCGACUUAUAUUCUGUAGCAAGGUUAACCGUAUAGGGGAGCCGAAGGGAAACCGAGUCUUAACUGGGCGUUAAGUUGCAGGGUAUAGACCCGAAACCCGGUGAUCUAGCCAUGGGCAGGUUGAAGGUUGGGUAACACUAACUGGAGGACCGAACCGACUAAUGUUGAAAAAUUAGCGGAUGACCUGUGGCUGGGGGUGAAAGGCCAAUCAAACCGGGAGAUAGCUGGUUCUCCCCGAAAGCUAUUUAGGUAGCGCCUCGUGAACUCAUCUUCGGGGGUAGAGCACUGUUUCGGCUAGGGGGCCAUCCCGGCUUACCAACCCGAUGCAAACUACGAAUACCGAAGAAUGUUAUCACGGGAGACACACGGCGGGUGCUAACGUCCGUCGUGAAGAGGGAAACAACCCAGACCGCCAGCUAAGGUCCCAAAGUCAUGGUUAAGUGGGAAACGAUGUGGGAAGGCACAGACAGCCAGGAUGUUGGCUUAGAAGCAGCCAUCAUUUAAAGAAAGCGUAAUAGCUCACUGGUCGAGUCGGCCUGCGCGGAAGAUGUAACGGGGCUAAACCAUGCACCGAAGCUGCGGCAGCGACACUAUGUGUUGUUGGGUAGGGGAGCGUUCUGUAAGCCGUUGAAGGUGUGCUGUGAGGCAUGCUGGAGGUAUCAGAAGUGCGAAUGCUGACAUAAGUAACGAUAAAGCGGGUGAAAAGCCCGCUCGCCGGAAGACCAAGGGUUCCUGUCCAACGUUAAUCGGGGCAGGGUGAGUCGACCCCUAAGGCGAGGCCGAAAGGCGUAGUCGAUGGGAAACAGGUUAAUAUUCCUGUACUUGGUGUUACUGCGAAGGGGGGACGGAGAAGGCUAUGUCAGCCGGGCGACGGUUGUCCCGGUUUAAGCAUGUAGGCGGAGGUUCCAGGUAAAUCCGGUACCUUAUUAACGCUGAGGUGUGAUGACGAGGCACUACGGUGCUGAAGUGAUAAAUGCCCUGCUUCCAGGAAAAGCCUCUAAGCAUCAGGUAACACGAAAUCGUACCCCAAACCGACACAGGUGGUCAGGUAGAGAAUACCAAGGCGCUUGAGAGAACUCGGGUGAAGGAACUAGGCAAAAUGGUGCCGUAACUUCGGGAGAAGGCACGCUGAUGUGUAGGUGAAGUCCCUGCGGACGGAGCUGAAAUCAGUCGAAGAUACCAGCUGGCUGCAACUGUUUAUUAAAAACACAGCACUGUGCAAACACGAAAGUGGACGUAUACGGUGUGACGCCUGCCCGGUGCCGGAAGGUUAAUUGAUGGGGUUAGCGGCAACGCGAAGCUCUUGAUCGAAGCCCCGGUAAACGGCGGCCGUAACUAUAACGGUCCUAAGGUAGCGAAAUUCCUUGUCGGGU
rnacentral:rRNA from 1 species